ACACGAAAUAAAACUAACAUGAACACUAAUUAGACCUAACAUGAAUUAGAAUAGAGGAGAUAAGGUCAUUUUAGGAUUUUAUAAUAAUUGCUAAAGAGGGCUGCAGCACAAGCUGUUAUACUUUUUGGGGCUGAAUCACAUGGGAGAAAAGUGAAGGGGCUGCAGUACAUGAAGAUGUUGCUUUUGGCGUUUUGACAUAAUUUUCCCAAAAAUAUAUUUUAAAUAUUAUUUUAUUAUUAUAAAAUAAUAGUGAUUAUUUAAUUAAUAACUAAAAAUUAGUCACAUAAUGAUAUACAACAAUAAGCAGUUGCUAGACAUAUCUUAAUAUAUUUUAAUGCUUUGGUAAUUUUUUUGGCGAUGUAUCAGUACUUUUUCAUUAUAUCAUGUGAUAUUUCAAGUUGUAAACUGUGGUCCUAGUGUUGCAAUAAGUGAUCCCAAUGUUGCAAUGUGGGUUUGGGCUUUUAAUUUUUUAAUUUAUUUUUUAAAUUUAUUUUAUAAAAUUGGUUUGGAUUCAUGGUUCAAUUUAAAUUUAGAAAAUCAAAAGAAAUAUCUAAGUGUGUACAUAACAGUUCAAUUAAGACCAAAAUCUUUUGCAAAAAAAUUUGUAAUGGGCACCACCUUUCUCCGGUGCAUGAAGUACGAGCAUUAAUUUGCCUUGAACAUAUUUACUAGUUGAAGGGCUUUCCAGUCAUUUACAAUAUUAAGGGUUUAUGUCGAUUAUUUAUAUUACUUAAAAUAUGACUGUCAUUGUUCAAAAUAUGACUGUUAAGUUCUUGAUUCGUAAUCAUUCCUAAAUCAAGAUACAGAGAUUUUAACUUUAACUAGAUUGAUUGCGAUUGAGAGAGAAUUCUCUUCUCAAUCUCUGUUGUUUUUGCUGCGCUUAUCGAUUGCGAUUGAGAGAAAAUUCUCUUCUCAAUCUCUACCGUUUCUGCUGCGCUUAUCGGUUGCAAUUAAGAGAGAAUUCUUUUCUCGAUCUCUAUCGUUUCUGCUGCGCUUAUCGAUGGCAAUCUCCAUCUCUUCCGUUUCUACUGUGCAUUCUCUCCGUAUUGAAUGGCGUCUACAGAUAGUCUCCAAACUGACGAUUUUGGUCAUUUAAUCUCAUCUAUGAGCGAAAAUCUUAGUAAGCACCAUCUGAAUCCCACUGAGAGCAAUAAGAACCUCAGGGUUUCAAUUUUAACCGAUGAAUGGGGGCUUACAUCGAUUUGAUGUUCCUUAUGGAUAAAAAGAUGGAAACUUUCUUUAGAUUUCAGAAAAAUGACAUCGCUAUUCAACUCUGAGAAAGGAGAAAGGAAAACCCAUCUGGGUUGGGCUACAAAAUGGGGAGAAUGCUCAUUACAUUUCAAAUUCUACAUUUCUUAGAUUCUUUGGAUCUUAUAUUGAUUUUAAAAAAAAUAUCCCAUAGGCUUUAUAUGGGUUGGAGGUGGGUAGCAUGAAACUGAAAUGUACCCUCUAUCCUCUUCAGUUCAGUGAGAAUGAUAUGAAGGCCAUAGCCAAGAUCCUUAUUACUAUAGUUGUAAUGUUGGCGGAAUCAAUUUGAUUCAAGUUGGUCUUUUAAUAAUAUCAUAGAAUCGUUUCAGUCAAGGUUUAAGAUAAAGGAGUUACACAAUAUAAUGAUUAAAAACUGGGAUGCGAUAUCCAAGCAGAUGGUGACAAGAAAACAAAAGGUCCUCAUUGGUUCCAAAGUUCAUUAUGUUACAACUAUCAAAACAUGGAAUUUUUAUGUGCAAGGAUCAGAAAGAUAGGAUGAUGACAACACAGGCAAGCCAAAGAAAGGUGAUAACAUGGGCAAGUUAAAAAUUCCACGAUCCAGGUUUUCUCUUGCCUAAGAGUACAUAGAUAGAAUUUUGACAAAGGAAGCGGGUAAGGAUGCGAAUGGGCCAAGCAAAAUUCUCAGGCUCACUUUGCAAAUCUGCCUAGUCUCAAUCAAAGAGGCACACAUAACUGCACAGACACAUGCACAUGAACACAUGCACUCAAGCGCGCGCACUCACAUAAAGACACAGGUGUGUUUAUAUUUAUAUAUAAAACAGUCUUUUUUCCUGAUAUUCGGCUAGACACAUGAAGACACAGGUAUGUGCGUAUUUAUAAUAAAGUCUUUUUCCUCCCUGAUAUUCAACUCUAAUCUCUAACUAACAUUAAGAUGUUGUUGCUAAUUUUCAGCUAGAGUAUCCAAUUGGAGAUUCCAUGUGAAGAAGUCUCCCACUACUAGUGAAAACUUUAUUUAACUAUUUUAUUUACUGUGAUGCAUGUCAUACUCAUUGUCUGAGCACAUGUUAACAAAAAUUUAUCCAGUCUUUGCUGCUUUUUAAUAACUCUUUACCAUCUAGUUGACCUUUGUCUCUUCUUCAAAUGGCUGCUCACUGAUGCCUGGUUUUGGUUGGAUAUUAUGUCCUUUCUUUUGUCUUUGGCUGAUAGGAGGAAUUGCAUUGAAGCUUCUAGUCAGAGCUCACUAAAGCCAGAGUCGGCAGAUACAACUUUUGUUGUUAGUUUCUCAGUAUGGAACUACCUACCAUUUCUCUUGUUAGCAGAAUGUGGCGGAGGUACGAUUAUGGGCAGUUUCAUUCAUCAAAGACGUUCUCCAAUGAGAAUAAGCAGAGAAGGAUCUUGAGGGGAUGACUGAAUGAAUCUUAUAGCGUGGCAGACAAUGUGGCAAAAGAGUGGUCUGGUAUUCAGAUUGUCCCAAGAGUUGUUACUUAGAUACCAACAGGAAACAGCUUGUGCAUUGGCCUAUUCAAAAGCUUGAUCAUUUAGAGGAAAACAAACAUAUUUCCAAGAAAUUGAGCUCAUGACAGGGGAUCUAGUUGAGGUAGAUGUUAUUAUAGAAUUUGAAUUGCAAAACUUGAAGACGGUUGAGGUUUUCGAUGAUAAUUGGAUUUUAGACCCAGCAGUGCUUCGUCAUGAUAUAGGUUCUUAGGUUCAUGGAAAGAUUAGCCCUUUCAGUUUACUCAUGUUGGCUUCACAUAAUCUAAAGGAAUAUAAAGCUAUUUCUUUCAGAAUUUUCAAAUCUGGUGAAGAUUACAAGUUCCAUAUGUGCUCAGACCAGAGAAGAAACCAAUAAAUUUAUCAGAAAGUAUACCAGCCAGCAUAGAGCCCUUGUGGACACGGACAUAAAAGAAGAUGACAAGAUAUCUGAUGCAUUCUCCUGGCAUCAACUCUGCAAUUAACAGCUUUCAACGGACUGCAGACUGCAGCCUGCGAGUAUGGCAUCCACUGGCUCCAGCGCUUCGUGCGGAUUAGGCAUGGCUGAGAUAUUGGCUCAGGCACCAUCAGAGGCUCCUAGUGCACCACUGUUUUGUAUCAUAGAAGGCCCAGAGACAGUCCACAAUUUUAUGUAAAUGUAGCUGCAAGAGAUUCAAGACAAUAUAAGAAGUUGACGGAACAAAAUAUACCUCCUCAUUAUGGAAGAGAUAUUUUGCCCAGAUACAGUCUACAAUUUUAUGCAAAUGCAGCUGCAAGAAAUUCAAGACUAUAAGAAACGGAACACAAUAUACCUCCUCAUGGAAGAGGUGAGGAGAUUGCAAGUACAACAACGUAUAACAAGUGCAGAUUUUAUUGAUGAGAACGGAUAGGAAAAUGAGAUGCCUGAUAGUAUUCCAUUCAUUCCCACUAUGCCAUCAAAGACAUUGAAGCAGCUACAGCUGACAUUAUUGUCUUUCGUUUCUUGGGCAAUAGACUUUGGCGUGCACCAAUUAACUAUGUGGAAGGUCCGUGUUGGAUCCUGCGAUGUUAGUGCAAAGAUGUUUGCUCCUGGCGAUGGGUGUUGCAAAACUUCCUUUCAUUGAUGAAAGACAUCUGCUCUCUGAAACAAAGAAUCUUGAGGACACGCUAACAGAAGAAGAAAAGUAUCAUAAUAGAAAAUGUUUGAUAUCUUGUAUGCUUAUGUAAGACAUCAUUAUGAAAGACAUCCUCUAGCGGCACAAGUUGCUUCACUGUACCAUCUGUACUCUUGGUCAUCGAAAGGACAAUCAGAUUGUAUUCAGAUCAAUCCAGCAUAUAGUGACGGAAUGAAUGGGUUUCUAUGUUUACGUGAAAGGAACAAUUACAAUACAUCAGUUUCUUUUCCAGUUGGAAGUUUGCAAGAAAUGCCACCUAUCUCAAUCCUAGGAAUCAUCAACACAUUCCAGAACCACCUGAAGUUGUGGUAAUGCUAAUGAAGAUUGUGAAACCUCAAGAUAUCAAGCCCUUCCCUGUAUUAUGGCAUGAAGAUAACUGUCAGCCAUCAAUCUAGAGAAAGGCCACAGGUUUCUGGAGCAGCAGCACAUCGUUUGGUCAAAAACUCUCUACAAACCAACUUCAAUUGCAGCACACGCUUCCUAAACUCCACCUACAGGAAUUACCCUCAAAUGAUUACCCGACCUUGGCCGGCUGGAUCUUUAGGAUAUGAAAGAGGUUUCGAGGGAUCUAAUAAGUUUCAAUGGACAAAGGCGAAAGUUUCAAUGAGCAUAAUUUGCUUUCAUUUUGCUGGAAUUCCAAUACUUUUUUCUGUGGGAUGCUGAACAUAUAUGAACAAAGGCGAAAGUUUCAAUGAGCAUAAUUUGCUUUCAUUUUGCUUUCGCAGAUCAUGUUAUUAAGCAGCAGGUGCUUGUUAGAUACUGCAAGAACAUUGAACCAUGGUUGCAAAUUGCAGAGUUUUAGAUGUAUGUUGAUUUCAUCACUUGAAUUGAUAUUUAUUGACCGAGAAUAAGCAACGUCUUGG